AAGAGUGCUAUGAGGAUGCAAUUUUUCGUGGACUAGAGUUUCUGAUCUGGGUUUCACUCCUAGUAGUUGAAGACUAACCCUUGGCUGUCUGAGCACCUUU
rfam:Citrus clementina cultivar Clemenules unplaced genomic scaffold scaffold_2, whole genome shotgun sequence.